GAUGAACGCUGGCGGCGUGCCUAAUACAUGCAAGUCGAGCGAUCAGACGAGGAGCUUGUUCCUCUGACGUUAGCGGCGGACGGGUGAGUAACACGUGGAUAACCUACCUAUAAGAGUGGGAUAACUUCGGGAAACCGGUGCUAAUACCGGAUAAUAUAUUGAACCGCAAGGUUCAAUAGUGAAAGACGGUUUUGCAGUCACUUAUAGAUAGAUCGCGGCCGCUUUAGCUAGUUGGUAAGGUAACGGCUUACAAAGGCGAGGAUCAUUAGCGGACCUGAGAGGGUGAUCGGCCACACGGGAACGGAGACACGGUCCAGACCCCUAGGGGAGGCAGCAGUGGGGAAUCUCGCGCAAGGGGCGAAGGCUGGACGGAGAAACGCCGCGGGAUUGAGGAAGGUCUUCGGUUGUUAAACCCUGUUUAUUGGGGAGGAACAAAGUGGGAAUGAACUACUCACGAAUUGACGGUACCUAAUCAGAAAGCCACGGCUAACUACGUG
rnacentral:rRNA from 1 species